AAGUCGUAACAAGGUUUCCGUAGGUGAACCUGCGGAAGGAUCAUUAACACGUAUCCAACGUUAAACCCCCCUGUGAACCUUCAUUGUGAGGGUGAAUGCUCUGCUUGUUGGUGUCUGAAAGUGUCACUAACUCUGUACGAAUGGCGCAGUCACGUUCACUGGAGGCCGACACGGCCGGCGACCGGGUCCCUGAGCUCUGCUCCCUAAUAACCUUUGCAUGAAAACGGGCCUGCGCUUAAUUGUGCGGCCACCAAACUCGAACAACUGUUAACAAUGGAUGGUUCUC
rnacentral:misc_RNA from 1 species